rnacentral:rRNA from 1 species
UACGUAGGGGGCGAGCGUUGUCCGGAUUUAUUGGGCGUAAAGAGCUCGUAGGCGGUUCGCUAAGUCGGGUGUGAAACCUCCAGGCUCAACCUGGAGACGCCACCUGAUACUGGUGUGACUAGAGUCCGGUAGGGGAGUGUGGAACUCCUGGUGUAGCGGUGAAAUGCGCAGAUAUCAGGAAGAACACCAGCGGCGAAGGCGGCACUCUGGGCCGGUACUGACGCUGAGGAGCGAAAGCGUGGGUAGCAAACAGG